rnacentral:rRNA from 1 species
GAUGAACGCUAGCGGGAGGCCUAACACAUGCAAGCCGAGCGGUAUUGUUUCUUCGGAAAUGAGAGAGCGGCGUACGGGUGCGGAACACGUGUGCAACCUGCCUUUAUCUGGGGGAUAGCCUUUCGAAAGGAAGAUUAAUACUCCAUAACAUAUUGAACGGCAUCGUUUGAUAUUGAAAGCUCCGGCGGAUAUAGAUGGGCACGCGCAAGAUUAGCUAGUUGGUGAGGUAACGGCUCACCAAGGCGAUGAUCUUUAGGGGGCCUGAGAGGGUGAUCCCCCANACUGGUACUGAGACACGGACCAGACUCCUACGGGAGGCAGCAGUGAGGAAUAUUGGUCAAUGGGUGCAAGCCUGAACCAGCCAUCCCGCGUGAAGGAUUAAGGUCCUAUGGAUUGUAAACUUCUUUUGUAUAGGGAUAAACCUACCCUCGUGAGGGUAGCUGAAGGUACUAUACGAAUAAGCACCGGCUAACUCCGUG